UGUGACAUAUGUAUGAUGUAUCUAUGAUGGAUGCAUGAUGUUUCCCCAGAGGAGAAAGGGAAAACUUAUAAAAAAGGAAGCAUCCCUUUGUUCAGGGCUUCUUCCUGCUUCUCCCAUGUGGUGGGUGGGAGUCCUGUUGCAACAGCCUUUGAUUAAAGACCAGGCCUGCAGGCUGCUGUUUUGCUUCUAUACUCCUGGCUGGUGUCUUUGUUUGAGCCCCAGGAUUUCCCUUUAGCAUGUGCAUGCAGCAGCCUAGGGACCCCCGACUCAUUUCUCACCUGCCACUUCUCCACAAUAAGUUGCAAUGUACGUUUCUACAGCUGUAGAUUUCUGCAGUCGGUUGCCCAUGUGGGGUUACAACCAGCCCUGGAGAUUUGGGUGCCGCUAACAGUAGAGGGAGCAGCCCAUUGUGCAGAGAGAGAGAACUAGGGUGGAUUUUGUCCCUUGAGUUCUUUCAUAAAUUGCUUUUUGAACCUUUCAGAAGUAAAACAUUUAAUCAGAGAUCGUAUAUUCUGUUUGGAACACUGAAGAGUGGAAUCAUCUCAGUAGAUAUUGAAGAAACGCCACAUCCGUACAUUUGUGAGAAGGCAGCCAGCCCUGAGCAACCAUUUCCUGCUUGAGAGGCCACUGCUGGUCCUAGCCGCACAAAUCGGGACGUCUCAGGACCUUCAACUGGUGGACCUAGCCCUGACUCCGAAGAAGGGACGGCGCCUCUGGAGCUGCUGUGGCCUCAGAGAUCUGCUGGAACAACUGGACAUGAGAAGGGGUCACUUUCCUUCAUGAAUGUAAAUCUCCCCAUGGAUGAGCUAAUCCCAGGUGCAAGGUCAGCCAAGCCAGUUGCUAUGAUGACAGCCCAGUGCCCCAGCUAUAUUUGUAAUUAAUGCAUGUCAGCUCAGGAGUGUCAGUCUGUGAGUCUGCAGUUAGUCUGUCUGUCUGGGUGUCUGUUAUUUGUGUCGCUUGCCCAAUGCUGCAUCUCGAAUGGCUCAACUUGGAGCAACGGAGAUCAUUUGUACUUGUAGGUGUAUCUGUAUCUGCAAAAGCCUACCAGCUGUAUCAACAUUUGGAACUGUUUGACUGAGCCUUAUCUUCUGCAACAAUAAACUAUCUGAAACUUU